UACAGAGGGUGCAAGCGUUAAUCGGAUUUACUGGGCGUAAAGCGUGCGUAGGCGGUUCAUUAAGUCGGUUGUGAAAUCCCUGGGCUUAACCUGGGAACUGCAGUCGAUACUGGUGGACUAGAAUGCGGUAGAGGGUGGCGGAACUCCGGGUGUAGCGGUGAAAUGCGUAGACAUCCGGAAGAACACCGAUGGCGAAGGCAACCACCUGGGCCUGCAUUGACGCUGAGGUACGAAAGCGUGGGGAGCAAACAGG
rnacentral:rRNA from 1 species